GACGAACGCUGGCGGCGUGCUUAACACAUGCAAGUCGAGCGAACGGACGCGAAGCUUUCUGCUCUGAGGUUAGGGGCGGACGGGUGGGGAAUAAGAGGAUAGUAUCCUUCUCCGACCGGGAUAAUAACGGGAAACCGGAGUUAAUACCGGAGAAUAUUUUGAACCGCAUGGAUGAAGAGUGAAAGACGGUUUUUGUGUCAGUUGUGGAUGGACCCGCGCUGCAUUAGCUAGUUGGUGAGGUAACGGCCUACCAAGGCAACGAUGCAUAGCCGGCCUGAGAGGGGGAUCGGCCACCCUGGAACUGAGACACGGUCCAGACUCCUACGGGAGGCAGCAGUAGGGAAUCUUCCGCAAUGGGCGGAAGCCUGACGGAGCAACGCCGCGUGAGUGAUGAAGGUCUUCGGAUCGUAGAACUCUGUUAUUAGGGAAGAACAUAUGUGUAAGUAACUGUGCGCAUCUUGACGGUACCUAAUCAGAAAGCCACGGCUAACUACGUG
rnacentral:rRNA from 1 species